GACGAACGCUGGCGGCGUGCUUAACACAUGCAAGUCGAACGAAGUGGCGAACGGGUGAGUAACGCGUAAUCAACCUGCCCUUCAGAGGGGGACAACAGUUGGAAAAGACUGCUAAUAACGCAUACUGAAGGAGGGGAAUGCGUCUGAGUAGCGAGUUGGAGGGGUAAAGGCCCACCAAGGCGAUGAUCAGUAGCCGGUCUGAGAGUAUGAACGGCCACAUUGGGACUGAGACACGGCCCAGACUCCUACGGGAGGCAGCAGUGGGGAAUCUUCCGCAAUGGACGAAAGUCUGACGGAGCAACGCCGCGUGAGUGAUGACGGCCUUCGGGUUGUAAAGCUCUGUUAAUCGGGACGCGGUACCGGAAUAGAAAGCCACGGCUAACUACGUGCCAGCAGCCGCGGUAAUAC
rnacentral:rRNA from 1 species